UGUCCCCUACGGGACGCAGCAGUAGGGAAUUUUCGUCAAUGGGCGCAAGCCUGAACGAGCAAUGCCGCGUGAACGAGGAAGGUCUUCGGAUCGUAAAGUUCUGUUGAAGGGGAAAAAGAGCGGAGAGAGGAAAUGAACUCCGAUUGAUAUUACCCUUCGAGGAAGUCACGGCUAACUACGUGCCAGCAGCCGCGGUAAUACGUAGGUGGCGAGCGUUAUCCGGAAUGAUUGGGCGUAAAGGGUGCGUAGGCGGCCUGCUAAGUCUGGAGUGAAAGGUACCGGCUCAACCGGUGCAGGCUCUGGAA
rnacentral:rRNA from 1 species